UCAGGACUGGAACUCCAAC
rnacentral:misc_RNA from 1 species